UGUGCUUCACAAAUAGUGCUUUUUUUUUUUUUUUUUUUUAAACAAAUUGAAGGUUUGUGGCAACCCUGCAUUGUCAGAUGAUGGUUAGCAUUUUUAGCAACAAAGUAUUUUUUAAGGUAUGUACAUUGUUUUUUUAGACAUAAUGCUGUUAUAUACUCAGUAGACUACAGUACAGUGUAAACAUAACUUUUAUGUGUACUGGGAAACCAAAAGAUUUGUGUGACUUGCUCUACUGAGAGAUUUGCUUUAUUGCAGUGGUCUGGAACCAAACCCACAAUAUCUCCAAGGUAUGCCUGCAUAGCACAGAUGCCAAAAGCAAAUGAGAUCAAACCUAAAAAAAACAUUUAGCAUGGCAUGGAUUGGAAAGGAAUCUCGUGGCCUGAUAUAAAUGCUGAUAGAUUUGUGCCAGCAAGUAAGGAUCUGGGGAGAAAGAGGAAGUGGUAACAAGUGGCACCUUGGAGCUCGCUAUCACACCCGUUUUGUUUGGAGUGAGGACAGGAACAAAAAUUUGCAUGAAGCCUUCAGGACAGAAGAGAGGCGGGGACUGAAGGAGGGAAAAAGCCCCAAAGCUGCAGGCCUGUCCGAAGGCCACUGAAAGUGUGGGUGGAACCAGGUAUCCUUUCAGCAUACACCAGUAGCAACUGCUGAGGUGAGUGGAGGUGUGGGAGUUGUGGAAGAAGCACAACUAUUUCUAACCCUGCUGGUGAAACUCUAUGGAGGCACUUUGAAGAAAAAGGAACAAUAAGUUAGGAAAAAUUUUUAAAGUUUGUCAGAUCCCAAUGCACUGAAAUCCUGGGGUGAGGUCCCUGAGGAACUGUAGUGCUUGGCUGAAACCAUGUGUCUCACAUCGAGAGCACAGUUUAAAAGAUGACAGGAACAAGGGUAAACAGCCUCUUAAUUAUGGUCUGAAAGAGAGCUGCUGUUUCUCUCCAAUUAUACAAAGUCACGAGGGCUUCAACCAACAGAUGUCAACGCACACUUGAUAUGAGAUGCAGAAAAGACUCAGCCUUCCUUUUGAGAAAUUUAUUAAAAUAAGAACAAGCAUCAGUUGUACAUAGAAAUAAUCAUUUGCACUAAGGUGGUACUCAAGCAGAAGAGCAGUUUUAAAUAUAUUUUAAAAAUCACAAAAUACAUUGGUUAAGGCACCUACAUCUUGUCUCAUGUUUUCAAUAAAUAUGCUGUUUUUUAAAAAGGCAGUAGUGAGGACCUCUGAUUAAAUGAAUCUAGGCAUUGUGCUAUUAAAGAUAGUCAUACUUUGCUGUGGCCACUGAUUUAUUCUCAAAAGAACUUUCAUUAGCUUGGUUUAGCAUUUAAAAAAACAAAACUGAGUAUGAAAAAAAAAUCACAGUUUUCUCUUUCCAGUCUUAAGUCUCUUCCAGAGAGACCUAUGUACAAAAGGUACUAUUUCUUCAUAUAUUCCUUAGUAACAAGGAAUUAUGCAGAAGGUGCAAGAAAAUAAAGCCAUCAGAGGUUGAAUGUUUCAGAACAGCAUGAGUCUUUGGGAAAGUAUUUUUUUCAACUGCAAUAAAAUCAGCUGGGUUUAGAAAACUCCGGACCUUACAGCAUCCAAGAAGUGCCCUCUGUUCAAGGAGUUCAAGGAGUGCCCUCUGUUCAAGGAGUUUUGUUAAGCAGUUGAGGGAAACCAGGUCCAGCUCCUGUGUUGUACAGGGUAGACAAAGCACCAGCCUGGGAGUCAAGUGGCCUGGGUGCUCGUUCAGUGCCACCAGUACUUUCAAAAUGCCAAUUUGGCACUUUUUUUUUUUUUAACAGUGCUCAUUAGCUCACGAAGCCUGUGCUUGUGCAUCGUCUUAGUUUGGUCACCUGUAAGAUGAAAAGGUUGGAGCUUCCUGCGUUUUUGUCCGGUUCCAGCAGCUCGCUAGUCUGAUGGUCUGAAUUGUUUUUGGUCACAGCUGAUGCCGCUGCAGGUAAUAGGCGCAGCCUCUCCAUAGACACAAUGACCACAGCAAAGAGGAGAAAAAUUAACUCUCUACAACAUGCCAGAUCGUUUGAGGCCUGAGUGCAAAUCUUUUCAUCAAAGCCCCGUAUGCUAUUUAAUUAAAAGACACCGUUUAACUGGAGUUAUGUUAUUCACAGAAAAAUAUUAAGACUUCUCUUAUUAGAUAAUAUAACUUCCAUGGCAGAACUGGCUUGCAUAGAUCUCUGAGAUUAACUUCACAUUUUCACACAUUUGGUUUCUCCAGUCAGGUCAUAGUUCAGCACCUAAGAUACUGGGCAGUAAGGCUGGAUACGGGCACGAGGGAAAUACGAGCAAGAAUCUUGACAUGAGCCACUCCUCAUUUGGGGUGAGAUUUUCUUUUUUUUUUUUUUGUCAGCUGUAUUGAAGGGGUUGCCCAUCUCAUUUCCUUUACUGCUGGUAUAUGACAUGGGAGAAUGCAGGUUGGCAAGACUUAAGCUGGGAGCCAUGCUUUACUUUUUGGCAAGUAAACUAGACACAUGGUCAAAGCUUUACGAAAUCUGGGACCUACUGCUCAGAUGCAGUAAAAAAUACAACUAAUUUCAUUCUGAAAUGAUAAUAUUGCUUUUACCUGCUAAGGUCUGGUCUUCAGUUUUACUUUAUAUAUACACACACACACGUGUGUGUGUGUGUGUGUGUGUGUGUGUGUUGACUUUAAAUUAUA